AUGGUGAAGAAAAUGGUGAUUUUUGUCCACUAUCUGCCUGUAGCAGUACUGUCACAACAGAGCGUUGCUGGAAGCUUGAUGAAGGCUCCAGGUGUCCCAAGAAGAGUAAUGCCCAGGCCAGGCCCUCCUCCAGCAACCACUUCUGCACAGAUUGGAAGUGAAAGUGCCACCUUGUCACUUCACCACAGAGCCAGGCAGGGCCACCAGAGUGCAGGCAGGGCAGGAGGGCAGAGCAGAGCAGGAAGAAAAGCUCACCCUGAGCAGCGUAGCAGCAGCAGCAAAAGUGGCACCAUGCAGAAGGGAGCAAAGCACAAACAGCUAAGAAAGCUGUAA
ensembl:lncRNA